GACGAACGCUGGCGGCGUGCCUAAUACAUGCAAGUAGAACGCACAGUUUAUACCGUAGCUUGCUACACCAUAAACUGUGAGUUGCGAACGGGUGAGUAACGCGUAGGUAACCCGCCUGGUAGCGGGGGAUAACUAUUGGAAACGAUAGCUAAUACCGCAUAAUAUUGAUUAUUGCAUGAUAAUUGAUUGAAAGAUGCUAUUGCAUCACUACCAGAUGGACCUGCGUUGUAUUAGCUAGUAGGUGAGGUAACGGCUCACCUAGGCGACGAUACAUAGCCGACCUGGGAAGGUGAUCGGCCAAACUGGGAAUGAGAACCGGCCCAGACUCCUACGGGAGGCAGCAGUAGGGAAUCUUCGGCAAUGGACGAAAGUCUGACCGAGCAGGGCCGCGUGAGUGAAGAAGGGUUUCGGAUCGUAAAGCUCUGUUGUAAGAGAAGAACGGGUGUGAGAGUGGAAAGUUCACACUGUGACGGUAUCUUACCAGAAAGGGACGGCUAACUACGUG
rnacentral:rRNA from 1 species